UGGGGAAUAUUGGACAAUGGGCGAAAGCCUGAUCCAGCCAUGCCGCGUGUGUGAAGAAGGUCUUCGGAUUGUAAAGCACUUUAAAUUGGGAGGAAGGGCAGUAAGCGAAUACCUUGCUGUUUUGACGUUACCGACAGAAUAAGCACCGGCUAACUCUGUGCCAGCAGCCGCGGUAAUACAGAGGGUGCAAGCGUUAAUCGGAAUUACUGGGCGUAAAGCGCGCGUAGGUGGUUCGUUAAGUUGAAUGUGAAAGCCCCGGGCUCAACCUGGGAACUGCAUCCAAAACUGGCGAGCUAGAGUAGGGCAGAGGGUGGUGGAAUUUCCUGUGUAGCGGUGAAAUGCGUAGAUAUAGGAAGGAACACCAGUGGCGAAGGCGACCACCUGGGCUCAUACUGACACUGAGGUGCGAAAGCGUGGGGAGCAAACAGG
rnacentral:rRNA from 1 species